rnacentral:rRNA from 1 species
UACGUAGGGGGCAAGCGUUGUCCGGAUUUAUUGGGCGUAAAGAGCUCGUAGGUGGUUCGGUAAGUCGGAUGUGAAAUCUCCAGGCUCAACCUGGAGGGGUCAUUCGAUACUGCCGUGACUAGAGGUCGGUAGGGGAGUGUGGAAUUCCUGGUGGAGCGGUGAAAUGCGCAGAUAUCGGGAGGAACACCUAUGGCGAAGGCAGCUCGCUGGGACGUUACUGACGCUGAGACGCGAAAGCGUGGGGAGCAAACAGG